UCAGAAUGCUGGAGGGGCCUUGUGCUGAGAGGGUUUACACCCGACUCCCUGCACCUGAUCCGGGUAAUACCGGCGUAGGAAAAGCAUUUCUGUCGCUUU
rnacentral:ncRNA from 2 species